AGGCAGCAGUGGGGAAUUUUGGACAAUGGGGGCAACCCUGAUCCAGCCAUGCCGCGUGCGGGAAGAAGGCCUUCGGGUUGUAAACCGCUUUUGUCGGGGAAGAAAAGGUMCGSGYUAAUACCGCGGASUAAUGACGGUACCUGAAGAAUAAGCACCGGCUAACUACGUGCCAGCAGCCGCGGUAAUACGUAGGGUGCAAGCGUUAAUCGGAAUUACUGGGCGUAAAGCGUGCGCAGGCGGCUUUGCAAGACAGAUGUGAAAUCCCCGGGCUUAACCUGGGAACUGCAUUUGUGACUGCAUGGCUGGAGUGCGGCAGAGGGGGAUGGAAUUCCGCGUGUAGCAGUGAAAUGCGUAGAUAUGCGGAGGAACACCGAUGGCGAAGGCAAUCCCCUGGGCCUGCACUGACGCUCAUGCACGAAAGCGUGGGGAGCAAACAGGAUUAGAUACCCUGGUAGUCCACGCCCUAAACGAUGUCAACUGGUUGUUGGACGGCUUGCUGUUCAGUAACGAAGCUAACGCGUGAASUUGACCGCCUGGGGAGUACGGCCGCAAGGUUGAAAC
rnacentral:rRNA from 1 species